ensembl:lncRNA
CCCCCCCCCCCCCCCCCGCGAUGCCAAAGUCGAAUCUCAGAACGGGAUGGGAAAAACAAUGCGAAAAAAGGAGAGAAAAAAAAAAGAGAGAUUGGAAAGGAAGAGGGGAAGAAAAUGGGAAGAGAUGCCAAAAAAUAGGAGAAAAAGGGAGGAAAAAGGAGAAAAAGAGGAGGAAAAGAGGAGGAAAAAGGAGGAAAAAAGGAGAAAAAAAGGAGGAAAAAAGGAGGAGGAGAUAAAAUGGAGAAAAAAGGAGAAAAAAGGGAGGAAAAAGGGAGGAAAAAAGGAGAAAAUGAGGAGGAAAAAAAAGAGGAGAAGAGGAGAUAAAAUGGAGAAAAAGGGAGAAAAAAGGAGAAAAAAGGGAGGAAAAAAGGAGAAAAUGAGGAGGAAAAGAGGAGGAAAAAGGAGGAAAAAAGGAGAAAAAAGGGAGGAAAAAAGGGAGGAAAAAAGGAGGAGAAGAGGAGAUAAAAUGGAGAAAAAAGGAGAAAAAAGGGAGGAAAAAAGGAGGAGAAGAGGAGAUAAAAUGGAGAAAAAGGGAGAAAAAAGGAGAAAAAAGGGAGGAAAAAAGGAGAAAAUGAGGAGGAAAAGAGGAGGAAAAAGGAGGAAAAAAGGAGAAAAAAAGGAGGAAAAAAGGGAGGAAAAAAGGAGGAGAAGAGGAGAUAAAAUGGAGAAAAAAGGAGAAAAAAGGGAGGAAAAAAGGAGAAGAGGAGAUAAAAUGGAGAAAAAAGGAGAAAAAAGGAGGAAAAAGGGAGGAAAAAAGGAGAAAAUGAGGAGGAAAAAAAAGGAGGAGAAGAGGAGAAUAAAAAGGAGGAAAAGAGGAGAAAAAAGGGAGAAAAAAAGGAGAAAAAGGGAGGAAAAAGAGGAGGAAAUGAGAAGAAAAAAAAAGGAGGAGAAGAGGAGAAAAAAUGGAGAAAAAAGGAGAAAAAAAGGAGGAAAAAUGGAGAAAAUGAGGAGGAAAAAAGGAGGAGAAGAGGAGAAAAAAAGGAGGAAAAGAGAAAAAUGGAGAAAAAGGGAGAAAAAGGGAGGAAAAAAUGAGGAAAUGAGAAGAAAAAAAAGGAGGAGAAGAGGAGAUAAAAUGGAGAAAAAAGGACAAAAAAGGGAGGAAAAAAGGAGAAAAUGAGAAAAAAAAGGAGGAGAAGAGGAGAAUAAAAAGGAGGAAAAGAGGAGAAAAAAUGGAGGAAAAAAGAUAAUGAGAAAAAAAGGAGGAGAAGAGGAGAUAAAAUGGAGAAAAAAGGAGAAAAAAGGAGAAAAUAGUGAGGAAAAAGAGGAGAAAAAAAGGGAGGAAAAAGGAGAAAAUGAUGAGAAAAAAAGGAGGAGAAGAGGAGAAAAAAGGAGGAAAAGAGGUGAAAAAAUGGAAAAAAAAGGAGAAAAAGGGAGGAAAAAAGGAGAAAAUGAGGAGGAAAAAAAAGGAGGAGAAGAGGAGAAAAAAAGGAGGAAAAGAGGAGAAAAAAUGGAGAAAAAGAGGUGAAAAAGUGGAGGAAAAGAGGAAUAAAAGAGGAGAAAAGGAGGAGAAAAAAUGCGAAAAAAAGGAGAGAAAGGAGAAAAAAGGGGGAGAAUGAGGAAAAAAAAAGAGAGGAAAAAAGAUUUGAAAGGAAGAGGGGAAGAAAAUGGGAAGAGGUGCCAAAAAUAGGAGAAAAAGGGAGAAAAAAAGGAGAAAAAAGAGGAGGAAAAAAUGGAGAGAAAAGGAGAAAAAGGAGAAACAGAGGAGAAAAGGAGGAGAAAAAGGAGAAAAAAGGAGAAAUAAAGGAGAAAAAGGGAGAAAAGGGAGGAAAAAAGGAGAAAAAAGGAGAAGAAAAGGAGAAAAAAGGAGAAAAAAACGAGAAGAAAAGGAGAAAAAAAGGAGAAGAAAAAGAGAAAGAGAAAAGGAGGAAAAAAGGAGAAAAUGAGAAAAAAGGAAGAAGAGGAGAUAAAAUGGAGAAAAAAUGAGAAGAAAAGAAGAAAAAAGGAGAAAAAAGGAGAAAAAAGGGAGAAAAAAGGAGAAAAAAGGAGAAAAAAGGAGAAAAAAGGAGAAAAAAGGAGAAAAAGGAGAAAAAGGAGAAGAAAAGGAGAAGAAAAAGGAGAAGAAAAGGAGAAAAAAAAGGAGAAAAAAGGGAGAAAAAAGGAGAAAAAGGGAGAAGAAAAAGGAGAAGAAAAGGAGAAAAAAGGAGAAGAAAAGGAGAAGAAAAAGGAGAAAAAAGGAGAAGAAAAGGAAAAGAAAAGGAGAAGAAAAAAAGGAAAAAAGGAGAGAAAAGGAGAAAAAAGGAGAGAAAAGGAGAAAAAAAGGAGAAGAAAAGGAGAAGAAAAGGAGAAGAAAAGGGGAAGAAAAGAUUUAAAAAGGGAGAAAAAAAGCUUAAAAAUGAAGGAAAAAAAGAAGAAAAAAAAACCGAAAAAAAAAAGGAGAAAAUAAAACAGGGAAAAAAAAAACGAGAGAAAAACAAACAAACAAAAAAAGCCAAAAGAAAAGAAAAAAAAGCAAGAAAAAAAGCAAAAAGCACCGAGCGGAGGGGAGGGACCCCCAACCCCCCCCCCCCCCCACCCCCCUCCCCAAAAACCCCCCCAACGGGACUCAGCACAGAGCGAAGCAGACGACGACGUCGAGGAGAGGAGAGGAGGAGGAGGAGGAGGAAGAGCCGCUAUGGGGGCGGGGGGGCGCCGUUUCUCCUCCCGUCCUGCAGGUGGCGCUGUGGGAGCGCCCAACUUCUCCUCCAUGACCGCGUCGGACUGAAACCUCUCAGAGCAAUAAUACUAAUAAUACUAAGAAUGCUAAUAAUAAUAAUAAUAAUUAAUGAUAAUAAGGAUACUAAUCAUACUCAUACGGAUAAAUAAUCGUGGAGGGUGGCCGGCGUGAGCUCACGAGGACUCACGAGGACUCGCGGCCGCCCGGCCCCACUUCUCACUAGCGACGAAGAUCAGGGAUGCCGUCACAGUAGCGCUAGCAAACCCCCCCCCCCCCCCAAAACCCCCCCAUAGCCAACCUGCAACCGACCCCUCCCCCCCCCCGACCCCCCCCUUUGGUCGAAAUCCCCCCCCCCGGGCUUUGCACGCGCGUGUGAGGGGCCGUCGGGUGAGUGCACACGCGGGUGUGAGCGUGCGUGGGGCCGGCAGGCAGCAAUAGGCUCUCAGGGGCUCUGUGAGUGCUGCGGGUGCUGCAUGGCUGUUGCACACUCACAUACACACUGCAGGUGUGCACACGUGUGUGACAGGCUGUAGUGAGUGCACACGUGUGUGCAAGUGUCUGUGCAACCAUGUGGUGCCAGCAGGCGGCCGUCGGCUCACAAGGGCUCUGUGAGUGCUGCGUGGCUGUUGCACACGCACGUGUGAGCACACACACAUAUAUGCAUGCACACGUGUGUGACAGGCUGUAGUGAGUGCACACGUGUGUGCAAGUGUAUGUGCAACAGUGUGGUGCCAGCAGGCAGCAAUAGGCUCUCAUGGGCUCUGUGAGUGCUGCGGGUGCUGCAUGGCUGUUGCACACUCACAUACACACUGCAGGUGUGCACACGUGUGUGAUAGGCCAUAGUGUGCAAGUAUCUGUGCAACCAUGUGGUGCCAGCAGGCAGCAAUAGGCUCUCAAGGGCUCUGUGAGUGCUGCGUGGCUGUUGCACAUGCACGUGUGAGCACACACAUGUACGUGCAUGCACACGUCUGUGACAGGCCAUAGUGAGUGCACACGUGUGUGCAAGUGUAUGUGCAACAGCGUGGUGCCAGCAGGCAGCAAUAGGCUCUCAGGGGCUCUGUGAGUGCUGCGGGUGCUGCAUGGCUGUUGCACACUCACAUACACACUGCAGGUGUGCACACGUGUGUGAUAGGCCAUAGUGAGUGCACACGCGUGUGCAUCUGUGCAGCUGUGUGGUGCCAGCAGGCAGCAAUUGGCUCACAGGGGCUCUGAGAGUGCAUGGCCGUUGCACACUAACAUAUACACAGCAUGCAUGCACGCAUGUGUGAUAGGCCAUAGUGAGUGCACACGCGUGUGCAAGUGUAUGUGCAACUGUGUGGUGCCAGCAGGCGGCCGUCAGCUCACAAGGGCUCUAUGAGUGCUGCAGAUGCUGAUUGCUGUUGCACACGCACGUGUGAGCACACACACAGAUACAUGCAUGCACAUGUGUGUGACAGGCCGUAGUUCAUGCACACGCGUGUGCAAGCAUCUGUGCAACUGUGUGGUGCCAGCAGGAAGCAAUUGGCUCACAGGGGCUCUAUGAGUGCUGGUGGUGCUGCUCUGCUGUUGCACACGCACGUGAGCACACGCACAUAUAGCCCUGCAGCAUGUAUGCACAGGCGUGUGCAAGCACAGGUAUGCGCAUGUCACGGCCGCUGUUGCACACAUACGUGUGAGCACACACAUGUACAGGCAUGCAACGUGCAGGCACACGUGUGUGUUGUGCACUUACACGUGCACACUCACACACAGAGGGCACGCAUGCUUACACACGCACGUGCAAGCAGGCAGCAGUAGGGCCUGCAUGCUCUGCAAUGGCUGCUGGUGUUGCACACGCGUGUACAUGGAGGCACACACAUGUGCACGCUCGCUUAUAGCUAUGCAUGUUGCACACGCGUGUGCAAGCACGGGUAUGUAUGUGGUGCCAGCAGGCAGCAGCCGGCUCACACGCGCUGUGAGUGCUGCACAGCUGUUGCACACGCGUGUACGUGUGGGCACACGCACAUGCACACCCAUCCACACAUUCAAGCAUACGCGUGUGUCACGAAUUUACAUGCACACACACUCACACGUGCACACACAUUCACACACUCCUCGUGCAAGCAGACAGGAAGGAGCUGCUCUGCUUUGUGAGCGCUGUCGGUGUUGCACACGCGUGUGCAUGUAUGCACACGCACACACACACACACACCUGACACGCACGUGGAUCCAAGCGAGGCGCCCUAAGUGCGGCGGGUGCUGCACACGCGUGUGAACAUUUGCACACGCAGACACACCCACACACAAGCAGGCUUGUGUGCUCUGCACGUGCUGCUGGUUUUGCACACCCAUGCCAAUGUUUGCACGCGCAGCCGGUGUGCACUCACGUACACACUCACAUCAAGCAGACGUGGGCAGGCAGGCAUGCACACAAGUGCUGCUGGUGUUGCACACCUCUUGCACACACAUACCCAUGCAGGCACACACGCAUACAAACAUGCUACACGCAGCCUUGCACACUCAUUGUGCCAUCACACACGUGUGUGCUCUGCAAGUGCUGCUGCUGUUGCACACCUCUUGCACACACAUACCCAUGCAGGCACACGCAUGCAACACACAGCCUUGCACACUCAUUGUGGGAGCCCACAGACACACGUGUGAGCUCUGCAAGUGCUGCUGCUGUUGCACACUUAUUGCACACACGUACAUGUAUGCACACACACACCUCGCAGCCUUGCACACUCGUUGUGGCAGCACACAGACACACGUGUGUGCUCUGCAAGUGCUGCUGCUGUUGCACACCUCUUGCACACACAUACCCAUGCAGGCACAUGCACACGCAUGCAACACACAGCCUUGCACACUCAUCGUGGCAGCACACAGACACACAAGUGUGCUCCACCAGUGCUGCUGGUGUUGCACACCUCUUGCACACACAUACCCAUGCAGGCACACACGCAUACAAACAUGCAACACAGCCUUGCACACUCAUUGUGGCAGCACACAGACACACGUGUGCGCUCUGCAAGUGCUGCUGCUGUUGCACACCUCUUGCACACGCAUAUCCAUGCAGGCACAUGCACAUACAUACAUGCAGUACGUGGCCUUGCACACUCAUUGUGGCAGCACACAGACACAUGUGUGAGUUCUGCAAGUGCUGCUGGUGUUGCACACCUCUUGCACACACAUACCCAUGCAGGCACACGCAUGCAACACACAGCCUUACACACUCAUUGUGGGAGCCCACAGACACACGUGUGCGCUCUGCAAGUGCUGCUGCUGUUGCACACCUCUUGCACACACAUACCCUUCCAGGCACACGCACACGUAUGCAACACGCAGCCUUGCACACUCACUGUGGCAGCACACGGACACACAUGUGCGCUCUGCAAGUGCUGCUGGUGUUGCACACCUCUUGCACACACACGUACAUGUAUGCACACACACACCUCGCAGCCUUGCACACUCGUUGUGCCAUAACACAGAAACACAUGUGUGCUCUGCAAGUGCUGCUGCUGUUGCACACCUCUUGCACACGCAUAUCCGUGCAGGCACAUGCAUGCAACACGCAGGCUUGCACACUCGUUGUGGCAGCACACAGACACACAUGUGUGCUCCGCAAGUGCUGCUGGUGUUGCACACUUAUUGCACAUACACGUACAUAUAUGCACACACAAACACUCAUCGUGCAAGCAGACGUUGCACAUCUUGCACACUCAUGCAGCGUGCAGGCUCACGCAUGUGUUGUGUACACAGCCCUGAGCACGCUUGCACACUUUGCUGGUGUUGCACACCCAUUGUAUGCACAAACAUGUUUGCACACGCAUGUUAGGUGCCACCUCCCAUGCUCUGCAAGUGCUGCGGCUGUUGCACACGCACACGCAAGUGUGCACAAGCGAUGUGUUGAGCACUGCUCGCGUGUGCAAGGCACGUGGCAUGAGUGUGCAUGAGGAGCACACGUGCAUGAGCGUCGCCAUGCGCACAGACUGCCUUGCACACGCGUGUGAGUAGGAUCACAUUGCACACGCAUCCUGUCAGCACACUGUGCAAAGCACACUGCCCCGGUGCACAAACAUUCACACCUUGCACACCCACACCCCUGUGCACACGCGUGAGAGCCCUGCACACGCACCACAUAAUGCACACCUGCACCACUUGCUCGGGUGUGCAAACCUUGUGGGUGCAACGUGCGUGCACAUCCCGUGCUCACACGCUACACACUGUGUGCACACUCAUUACACACCCAGUGCUCACCCAUUGCACACUCACUGCACUGCACAUCCAUCACAAUCCCUUUGCACACCCAUUGCACACCGACUGCACACACUGCACUCCCAGUGCACACCCAUUGCACACUCACUGCUCAGCACAUCCUUUAGACUCCCUGUGCACACCCGUUGCACACUCACUGCACAUCCAUUACAAUCCCUUUGCACAACCACUGCACACUGACUGCACAUCCAUUACAAUCCCUUUGCACACCCAUUGCACACCGACUGCAUGCACUGAAUCCCCUCUGCACACUCAUUGCACACUCACUGCACUGCACAUCCAUUACAAUCCCUCUGCACACCCAUUGCACACUCACUGCACUGCAUCUCCAUCACACCCCCUGUGCACACUCAUUGCACACUUGCUGCACUCCCAUUAGAUCCCGUGUGCACACCCACUGCUCACCAACUGCACUCCCUGUGCACACUCAUUGCACACUCACUGCACACCCAUUGCACCCCCUGUGCACACCCAUCGGACACUGCAUGUCAACUGCACUCCCUGUGCACACUCAUUGCACACUCACUGCACACCUAUUAGACCCCCUGUGCAUGCCCGUUGCAUGCCAACUGUACUCCCUGUGCACACUCAUGGCACGCAGUGCACACUCACUGCACACCCAUUCUGUACACUGCAUUCCCUGUGCACACCCACUGCACACUCACUGCACACUGCAUUCCCUGUGCACACCCAUUCUGCACACACUGUGCACACCCAUUGCACACUCACUGCACGCACUGCACUCCCCGUGCACGCCCACUGCACACUCAUUACACGUCCACUGUGCACUCCUUGCACACACUGCACCCCCUUUGCACACUCACUGCCCACCCACAGCGUGCACUGCACUCCUGUUGCACACCCACUGCACACACUGCACGCUCUGUGCACACACACUGCGCUGCACACUCACUGCAUGUCUACUGCAUGCUCUUUGCACGCACUGCACCCCCUUUGCACACUCACCGCACACCCACUGCAACCUGUGUGCACACUCACUGCACACCCAGCACUCUUUUUGCACACACACUGCACGCCCUGUGCACACACUCAUUGCACACCCACAGCGCACACACCCACCGCUCACCCCACGCAUGCAGUGAACUCCUCUUGCACACUCACUGCACAUGUUGCACUCCCCUGCACACACAGCUCCCCCUGUGCAAGCCCAGUGCACACCCACCGCAGACCCUUUGCACGCACCACACUCCUCUUGCACACCCACUGCUCCCUCUGCACACCCCCUGCUCCACACACACACCACCGUGCCCUGUGCAUGCCCACAGCACUCCCCGUGCACACCCAUUGCACACCCGUUGCACACACACCACGCACUGUAAACCCACUGCACUUGUUGCUCACGUUACCAACGCGCUGCACACGUUGCACACCCACUGCACACAUGACACACCCGUUGCACACACACUGCACACACAUUGCACACCCAUUGCACACAGACUGCACACUGUGCACGCUCCUUGCACGCACAUUGCACACCCUCUGCACACACCACACACGUGAUUGCAGGCAUUGCACACGUUGCACACACAAACGUGUGACACUGCAUACGUGCAGCACCCCACAAACACACUGCACACCCAUUGCACGCACACUAUAAGCACACUCAGCACACACAACAUGCAACAAACGUGACACACGUGUGACACACGCGUGACACUCAUAACAAUCACCAGACACACUCAGUGCCCUGCACACGCACUGCACAACCAUUGCACACACACUAUAGGCACAAUCAGCACACACAACACACGUGACACACGCGUGACACACUCAUAACAAGCACCAGACACACUCAGCACCCCACACAUGCACUGCACGCCCAUUGCACACACACUCAGAACACACAACACGUGUGACACACACAUAACACACUCAUAGCAACACCAGACACACUCACUGCCCUGCAGGUGCCUUGCACGCCCAUUGCACACACACUAAAAGCAUACUCAACGCACACAACACAUGUGACACACACAUGUGACACACACGUGACACAAACACGUGACACACAUGUGACUCACACUCUGUACACACACAACACACUCGCACACAGUGCCCCCCACACCCCCUGCACUCCCCUUGCACACCCACUGCACACAAACGCGUGGCACACACGACACACACACGCACUACACCACACACACACUCACAACACGCACACCGCACGCCCAUUGCACGCCUAUUGCACACCCAUUGCAUGCCCAUUGCACACGUGACACAUGUGGCACACACUACACACCACUCACACAUGAGACACACACUCACAACCAGCACUGCAUGCACUCAGUGCCUGCAGGCCCAUUGCACACCCAUUCCACAUCCAUUGCACACCCGCUGCACAUGUGACACGUGUGCCACACAGCACGCACACAACACACGCACAAAACACACACACACAACCAGCACUGCGUGCACUCAGUGCCUGCACACCCAUUACACGCCCAUUGCACGCCCAUCACACAGCCAAUGCACACCACUUGCACACCCAUUGCACACGUACUGCACACGUGUCACGUGUGAGACACACCACACACACGACACACACACGAACACUGCAUGCACUCGGUGCCUGCACACCCAUUGCACACCCAUUGCACAGCCAUUGCACGCCCCUUGCACACCCACUGCACACGUGACACGUGUGACACACACUACACACCUCUCACACAUGAGACACACACUCACAACCAGCACUGCAUGCACUCAGUGCCUGCAGGCCCAUUGCACACCCAUUGCACACUCAUCACACAGCCACUGCACACCCCUGCACAACCACUGCACACGUGACACAUGUGACACACACCACACACAUGACACACACACACACACUGCAUGCACUCAGUGCCUGCACACCCAUUGCACGCCCAUUGCACGCCCAUCACACAGGCAUUGCACGCCCCUUGCACACCCACUGCACACGUGACACGUGUGACACACACUACACACCUCUCACACAUGAGACACACACUCACAACCAGCACUGCAUGCACUCAGUGCCUGCAGGCCCAUUGCACACCCAUUGCACACUCAUCACACAGCCACUGCACACCCCUGCACAACCACUGCACACGUGACACAUGUGACACACACCACACACAUGACACACACACACACACUGCAUGCACUCAGUGCCUGCACACCCAUUGCACGCCCAUUGCACGCCCAUUGCACACCCAUUGCACGCCCCUUGCACACCCACUGCACACGUGACACGUGACACAAACCACACACACAACACACGCGCAAGACGCACACACAACAUGCACUGCAUGCACACUCAUUGCACACACAUUGCACGCCCAUCACACAGCCAUUGCACGCCCCUUGCACACCCACUGCACACGUGACACGUGUGACACACCACACACAUGACACACACACAACACACUGCAUGCACACCCAUUGCACGCCCACUGCACACACACCACACCCACAUGACACACCCACAUAGCACUCACCGUGUGCACUCGGUGCCCUGCAUGCCUCUUGCACGCCCGCCACACACCCACAGCCCAAAUCGCAUGGCCGUUGCACACCCACAGCACACACGACACGUGUGAGACACACCGCACGCUCCAUACACACGCACGCAACACACAGCGCACACACUCAGCACGCCGCAUGCCCGUUGCACACCCGUUGCACGCCCACUGCACGCACGCAAUACACAACUCAGACAACACACAGCACACGCACGCACAAAGCACACUCACAACACUCACUGCGCACACUCAGCACUCCUCACAUCUGUUGCACACUCAUUGCACUCCCAUUGCACACCCACCACACACACAACACGCGUGACACACACAUGACACACACAACACGCAUGCACAAUGCUCAGUACAUGCACACAGUGUCCUGCACACUCAUUGCACGCCCAUUACACACACUGCUCACAUAUGGCCCGUGUGACACACGCAGCACACUCACACACGCAUGCACAACGCUCAGUACACACAGUGCCCUGCACAAAAUUGCACACUCAUUGAACGCCCAUUGCACACCCACUGCUCACACAUGGCCCGCGUGACACAUACACGCACUUGAUGCACACUCACAACGUGCAUUGCACGCACUCAGUGCCCUGCACCCAAAUUGCACACUCAUUGCACACCCAUUGCAUGCCCAUUGCACACCCACCACACACACGACACGCGUGACACAUGCGUGACACACACAACACGCAUGUAGAACACUCAGUACAUGCACUCAGUGCCCUGCACACUCACUGCACACUCAUUGCACGCCCAUUGCACACCCACUGCACACACACAACACGCGUGACACACGUGACACACACAACACGCAUGCACAACGCUCAGUACAUGCACACAGCGUCCUGCACACUCGUUGCACACUCAUUGCACGCCCAUUGCACACCCAGCGCACACACACAACAUGCGUGACACACGUGACACACACAACACGCAUGUAGAACACUCAGUACACGCACUCAGUGCCCUGCACACAAACUGCACAUUCAUUGCACACUCAUUGCACGCCCAUUGCACACCCACUGCUCACACAUGGCCCGUGUGACACAUACACACUGCACACACUUCAUGCACACUCCCAACAUGCAUUGCAUGUGCUCAGUGCCACGCACACCCAUUGUACACCCAUUGCACGCCCAUUGCACACCCACCACACACACACGCACCACACACACUCCCACCACACACCGCACACACUCGGUGCCUUGCACACCCACUGCACGCCCAUUGCACACCCACCACACACACUCCCACCACGCACCGCACACACUCAGUGCCUUGCACACCCAUUGCACGACCUUUGCACGUCUAUUGCACACCCACCACACACGUGACGUGUGACUAACGUGACACGUGACACACACACACACACACACACACACACACUCACACCAUGCACCACACGCGCUCGGCGCCCUGCAUGCCCUUUACACACCCAUCGCACACCCAGCACACACACUCCCACACACUCGGCCCCCCGCACGCCCAUUGCACGUCUAUGACACGGACAUUGCACACCCACAAUGCACAUGGCACGUGUGACACACGUGACACAUGUCCCCCCACACUCCCACCACACACUGCAUGCACUCAGUGCCUUGCACACCCAUUGCACAUCCAUUGCACGUCCAUUGCGCACCCACUGCUCACACAUGGCACGUGUGACACACACACACACCACACACACUGCACGCACACUCCCAACAUGCAUUGCACACUCUCAACGUGACGCAUGCCCGUUGCACACCCAUUGCACACCCACAGCACACACUUAUAACACGCACACUCCCACACACUUGGCAACCCUCACAUCCAUUGCACGUCUAUUACACACCCAUUGCACGCUCACAGCACACACACAACACACACACUCCCACACACUCGGCGGCCCGCACACCCUUUGCACAUCUAUUACACACCCAUUGCACACCCACUAUGCACAUGGCACGUAUGACACACGUGACACACAUCCCCCCACACUUCCACCACACACUGCAUGCACUCGGUGCCUUGCACACCCAUUGCACACCCAUUGCACAUCCAUUGCACGUCCAUUGCACACCCACUGCUCACACAUGGCUUGUGUGACACACACACACCACACACACUGCACGCGCACUCCCAACAUGCAUUGCACACACUCAGCGUGACGCAUGCCCGUUGCACACCCAUUGCACACCCUUUACACACUCAGGACACACAUGACACACGUGACACACACACAGAACAGACACACACUCCAAACACACCGAUUGCACACCCAUUGCACAGCAGCUGCACACGCAUUGCACACUCUUUACACACCCAUUGCACCCUCACAACACACAACACACAUGACUCACACACAACACACGCACAUACACUCCCAACACACCCUACGUGCCCAUUGCACACCCUUUACACACCCAUUGCACACUCAGGACACACACAACACACGACACACACACACACUCCUAACACGCCCAUUGCACAUCCAUUACACACCCACCACAUGCGUGUGACACCCCCUCACUCUCCCACCACGCCUUUGCACGCCCAUUGCACACCCACGACGCACGUGACACAUGUGACACAUAAACACACCACACUCCCACCACACACUGCACACACUCAGUUCCUUGCACACCCAUUGCACACCCAGAGCUCACCCAUUGCACGUCCAUUACACACCCAUUGCACACGCAUGACACACGUGACACAUGUGACACACACAAACACACUCCCAACACGCACUGCAUGCUAAUUGCACACCCUUUGCACACCAACUACACAUCCAACACCCGUGACACACACAUACACACUCCCACCACACACUGCACACACUCAGCUCCCUGCACACCCAUUGCACAGCCAGAGCUCACCCAUUGCACCUCCAUUGCACACCCAUUGCACCCCUGCUACACACGUGACACACACGCACUCCCACCACGCACUGCACACACUCAGCUCCCUGCACGCACAUUGCACGCCCAUUGCACACUCAUGACACACGUGACACACGUGAUACACACACACUCACACACUCCCACCACACUCUGCACACACACAGCGCCCCACACUCCCACUUCACACCCAUUGCACACCCAUGACACACGUGACACAUGUGACACACACACUCACACCCUCCCAGCACGCACUGCACACACUCAGCUCCCUGCACACCCAUUGCACACCCAUGACACACGUGACACACAUACACACACUCCCAGCACACACUGCACACACUCAGCUCCCUGCACACCCAUUGCACACCCACAAGGCACGUGACACCCGUGACACACAUGACACACACACUCCCACCACGCACUGCACACACUCAGCGCCCCACACUCCCACUGCACACCCAUUGCACACCCAUGACACACGUAACACACAUGACACACACAAACACACUCCGAACACGCACUGCACGCCCAUUGCACACCCUUUGCACACCCACUGCACACCAACUACACACCCAACACCCGUGACACCCGUGACACACACACACUCCCAACACACACUGCACACACUCAGCUCCCUGCACACACAUUGCACACCCAU